UGGGCGAAGCCUGAUCCAGCCAUGCCGCGUGUGUGAAGAAGGCUUUCGGGUUGUAAAGCACUUUCAGUGAGGAAGAAAGCCUUCGGCCUAAUACGCCGGAGGAACGACAUCACUCACAGAAGAAGCACCGGCUAACUCCGUGCCAGCAGCCGCGGUAAUACGGAGGGUGCGAGCGUUAAUCGGAAUUACUGGGCGUAAAGCGCGCGUAGGUGGCUUGAUAAGCCGGUUGUGAAAGCCCCGGGCUCAACCUGGGAACGGCAUCCGGAACUGUCAGGCUAGAGUGCAGGAGAGGAAGGUAGAAUUCCCGGUGUAGCGGUGAAAUGCGUAGAGAUCGGGAGGAAUACCAGUGGCGAAGGCGGCCUUCUGGACUGACACUGACACUGAGGUGCGAAAGCGUGGGUAGCAAACAGGAUUAGAUACCCUGGUAGUCCACGCCGUAAACGAUGUCGACUAGCCGUUGGGGUCCUUGAGACCUUUGUGGCGCAGUUAACGCGAUAAGUCGACCGCCUGGGGAGUACGGCCGCAAGGUUAAAACUCAAAUGAAUUGACGGGGGCCCGCACAAGCGGUGGAGCAUGUGGUUUAAUUCGAUGCAACGCGAAGAACCUUACCUACCCUUGACAUCGUGCGAACUUUCCAGAGAUGGAUUGGUGCCUUCGGGAACGCACAGACAGGUGCUGCAUGGCUGUCGUCAGCUCGUGUUGUGAAAUGUUGGGUUAAGUCCCGUAACGAGCGCAACCCUUGUCCCUAUUUGCCAGCGAUUCGGUCGGGAACUCUAGGGAGACUGCCGGUGACAAACCGGAGGAAGGUGGGGACGACGUCAAGUCAUCAUGGCCCUUA
rnacentral:rRNA from 1 species